AGAGGAGGUGGAAAUGGUAAACUCCUUCCUCUCCAGGACUGCCAUCAACACAAAGUUCAUGGGCAAAGGAGCCCGCACAGACAUGCUGACUGUCCAGAUCAUGGACUGGAACAGGAGAAAGACUGAAAAUAUGUGUAAUACCUUAUGCACAAGAUUUCGCAAGACACAGCAGAAUCUUCAGAGAGAGAGAGACAGAGCCUACAGACCCUUAAGGAAGAGAUGUCUGCCAAUGAUCAAAUUUUGCAGCAGUGGGUCAAAGAUGUCCAGGACUGGGCUGAACACG